rnacentral:rRNA from 1 species
AAUCAACGCUGGCGGCGUGCCUAACACAUGCAAGUCGCACGAGAAAGGGACUUCGGUCCUGAGUACAGUGGCGCACGGGUGAGUAACACGUGAAUAAUCUACCUCCGAGUGGGGAAUAACUGAGAGAAAUCUUAGCUAAUACCGCAUAACACUUACGAGUCAAAGCAGCAAUGCGCUUGGAGAGGAGUUCGCGGCAGAUUAGUUAGUUGGCAGGGUAAGGCCUACCAAGACGAUGAUCUGUAUCCGGCCUGAGAGGGCGCACGGACACACUGGAACUGAAACACGGUCCAGACUCCUACGGGAGGCAGCAGUGGGGAAUUUUGCGCAAUGGGGGAAACCCUGACGCAGCAACGCCGCGUGGAGGAUGAAAUCCCUUGGGAUGUAAACUCCUUUCGAUCGGGAAGAU